AGUAGGAGUGAGCCUGCUCGCGAUAACGGUAUGUCAGUUAAAGAUGAUUUGAAUGACCGACCGCUAUCGCGAGCAGGCUCACUCCUACA
rnacentral:antisense_RNA from 1 species